AACGUAGACCUCAAGCGUUAUCCGGAUUUAUUGGGCGUAAAGCGCGUGUAGGAGGUCCUGCGCGUCUUCUGUUAAAGCCCGGGGCCUAACCCCGGAAGUGCAGGAGAUACGGCAGAACUAGAGGAGGUUAGAGGUGCAUGGAACGCACGGUGUAGGGGUGAAAUCCGUUGAUAUCGUGCGGAACACCAAAGGCGAAGGCAUUGCACUGGGACCUUCCUGACUCUGAGACGCGAAAGCGUGGGGAGCAAAAAGG
rnacentral:rRNA from 1 species